GAUGAACGCUAGCGGCAGGCUUAAUACAUGCAAGUCAAGGGGGUAGCAAUACAACCGGCGCACGGGUGAGUAACGCGUACACAACAUGCCAUAUACUGGGGUAUAGCUUCGGGAAACUGAAGGUAAUCCCCCAUAACAUUGCGAAUAGGCAUCUAAUUGCAAUUAAAGUUCCGACGGUAUAUGAUUGGUGUGCGUUUGAUUAGGUAGUUGGCGGGGUAACGGCCCACCAAGCCGACGAUCAAUAGCUGGCGUGAGAGCGCGACCAGCCACACUGGAACUGAGACACGGUCCAGACUCCUACGGGAGGCAGCAGUAGGGAAUAUUGGACAAUGGGCGAAAGCCUGAUCCAGCCAUGCCGCGUGAUAGAUGAAGGCCCUCUGGGUUGUAAAUAUCUUUUAUCUGGGAAGAAACUCCUCUAUUCUUAGAGGCCUGACGGUACCAGAGGAAUAAGCACCGGCUAACUCCGUGCCAGCAGCCGCGGUAAU
rnacentral:rRNA from 1 species